AUGCACAGGGUUGCAUUCAAUGCGCAGGCUAACUUGAAGAACAUUGUGGCCUCCGAAAAAGCUUCAAAAUCCAUGUUAACGGAGUAUUUCAAGGCUAACCAGGAACACCCUUGGGCUAGGCAUAUAUUGUACAAGAAUUUUCCCGGAAGCUUCACGUGGCAGCAGCAAAAGAAGUCUUGGAAGCCUCGGGUCAAGCGUUUUCAAAUAGGUCGCAACGUGUCUGCCAAUCCAGUCGAGGGGGAGCGAUACUACUUGCGUGUAUUGCUGAACCAUGUUACGGGCAAAAUCUCAUUCGACGACUUGCUCAACGUGGGCGGCAUGCUAUGUGGGAGCUUUAGAGAGGUUGCUGAAUGGUUAGGUCUCAUCGAGGCAGACAACACGCUUGACGACUGUCUUAAUGAGGCUGAGCAGUGGGCAAUGCCAUGUUCUCUUAGGAGGAUCUUCACAACCAUCUUGGUGCACUGCGAGCCAGGCGACGUGCGCGGUUUAUGUGAUAGGUACCUCGAGCCUAUGCCAGAUGACUAUCGUCGAACAUGCACGUCGCCCAAGGAGGUUGAGCAGUUGGUGUUGCUUGACAUUAGGGCUAUGUUGCAGUCCAUGGGUAAAGACGUUGUUGAUUUCACUCUUCCAAUCAUCGAUGAUGCGUUUGACCCAACCGAUGGUGAGUGUAGAGAGGUCAUAGAGUAA
rnacentral:rRNA from 1 species